GCACAGCAGCUGCUGGCCCAGGUGCUAAGCCCCUCACUGCCUGGGGCUGGCGGGGCCGGCAGGCCGCUCCGAGUGCGGGCCCGCCGAGCCUACGCCCACCCGGAACUCGCGCUGGCCCGGAAGCACCGCGCGCAGCCCCGGUUCCGGCCCGCGCCUCUCCCUCCACACCUCCCCACAAGCUGAGGGAGCCGGCUGCGGCCUUCGCCAGCCCAGAAAGGGGCUCCUACAGUGCAGUGGCGGGCUGAAGGGCUGCUCAAGCGCCGCCAAAGUGGGAGCCCAGGCAGAGGAGGCGCCCAGAGCGAGCGAGGGCUGUGAGGACUGCCAGCACGCUGUCACCUCUCACUCAUAUAGAUUGCCAAUCUAUUUGUGAACCAGGUUUGCUGGAGUUUGGAUUUACUACUGAGUCAUAUUUGGAGCAUGCUGGAAUCUUACAACUGAGAUUACCGAGUCAGAAACUUGCAAACAUGAGUAACAUGGCCCUGCUCUGGAGACUACUGGGAACACAAACACAGCCAUUUAAGACAUCUACCUGCUUCUCCUUUGCCUUCCAUCAUGACUGAAAGUUGUCUGAGGUCUCCCAGCCACGUGUCCUGUACAGCCUGUGGAACUGUCACACUGAAUUUGGACACUGGAGAAGAGAAAGGAGAAGGCCAUUCUGGCUACCCUAGGACUCAGAGACGACUUUAAAGAAGAAUCAGAAAAUGGAGACUGGGAUUGGAAGCAGAGAUCCGAUGGCCAAAUUACAGUCUGCCACUGAAGCUAACACACCUAUGGAUAACCCAACCUGUAAACUCAAUGUGGAACACAGUUUGAGAAAAGAAGUGAGAAGAUUCAAUUUUGAAGUUGGAUCACUCUCCUACAGGCAAUGAAGACCACAUCACUGAUGAACUCUGACUAAUACAUCAUGAACUUGCAGAAUUUUGGAUAUUUGACAAAUCUGAGGAAUUGAAGAGACGGGCACCUCACCUUUUCUGAGCAGAAGAGUUCAUUUGAUGAAACCUGAAGUAGAGAGCA
rnacentral:lncRNA from 1 species